rnacentral:rRNA from 1 species
GAUGAACGCUGGCGGCGUGCCUAAUACAUGCAAGUCGAACGCAUAGCGAAAGGUGCUUGCACCUUUCAAGUGAGUGGCGAACGGGUGAGUAACACGUGGACAACCUGCCUCAAGGCUGGGGAUAACAUUUGGAAACAGAUGCUAAUACCGAAUAAAACUUAGUGUCGCAUGACACAAAGUUAAAAGGCGCUUCGGCGUCACCUAGAGAUGGAUCCGCGGUGCAUUAGUUAGUUGGUGGGGUAAAGGCCUACCAAGACAAUGAUGCAUAGCCGAGUUGAGAGACUGAUCGGCCACAUUGGGACUGAGACACGGCCCAAACUCCUACGGGAGGCUGCAGUAGGGAAUCUUCCACAAUGGGCAAAAGCCUGAUGGAGCAACGCCGCGUGUGUGAUGAAGGCUUUCGGGUCGUAAAGCACUGUUGUAUGGGAAGAACAGCUAGAAUAGGAAAUGAUUUUAGUUUGACGGUACCAUACCAGAAAGGGACGGCUAAAUACGUG